rnacentral:rRNA from 1 species
ACGCUCGACACCUACGGGAGGUAGCAGUCGGGAAUAUUGCGCAAUGGAGGAAACUCUGACGCAGUGACGCCGCGUAUAGGAAGAAGGUUUUCGGAUUGUAAACUAUUGUCGUUAGGGAAGAAAAAGGACAGUACCUAAGGAGGAAGCUCCGGCUAACUACGUGCCAGCAGCCGCGGUAAUCUGAGCGGGCUGGCAAGGC